AGAGUUUGAUCCUGGCUCAGGAUGAACGCUAGCUACAGGCUUAACACAUGCAAGUCGAGGGGCAGCAUGAACUUAGCUUGCUAAGUUUGAUGGCGACCGGCGCACGGGUGAGUAACACGUAUCCAACCUGCCGAUGACUCGGGGAUAGCCUUUCGAAAGAAAGAUUAAUACCCGAUGGCAUAAGUUCUUCCGCAUGGUAGAACUAUUAAAGAAUUUCGGUCAUCGAUGGGGAUGCGUUCCAUUAGGUUGUUGGCGGGGUAACGGCCCACCAAGCCUUCGAUGGAUAGGGGUUCUGAGAGGAAGGUCCCCCACAUUGGAACUGAGACACGGUCCAAACUCCUACGGGAGGCAGCAGUGAGGAAUAUUGGUCAAUGGACGAGAGUCUGAACCAGCCAAGUAGCGUGAAGGAUGACUGCCCUAUGGGUUGUAAACUUCUUUUAUACGGGAAUAAAGUGAGGCACGUGUGCCUUUUUGUAUGUACCGUAUGAAUAAGGAUCGGCUAACUCCGUGCCAGCAGCCGCGGU
rnacentral:rRNA from 1 species